GGAAAUUAGGCAAAUCAGAAUAAACAAGGAAAGCUUAAAUCAUGGGAUUUGACAAAAUAAAUCAGGGGGCAAUCAUCUCAACAAUCAUCUCCUUUCUAUAAUUAUUGAUUUCCUGCACUAUAUAUUAGAAUGUCUAGAUGAGGGUAAAGGCAUCGAAUCUGUUACCAUUAGUCUUUUAGCUCUAAGUAGCUGGACAAGAGCCUAAUACUCUUGUUGGGGAAGUCUUGUGAUUUCCUAUUUCUCCCUUUCAAUCAACAAAACACCCCUCCUUGUUCUUUUCUCUAACAUAACUCAAAAGAGCUUUUAUCAAGCAGUGACUGUCCUAAAGGAGUUAGGACAUCCUCAGGUUUGGCCAAGAUGUCUGGCCAAAUCUUUUGUAAUGGCUGGAGUGAGCAGUGCUGAUUAAGGUUUGAUGCUAAAUGUGCAGUACCUCUUCUGCAUGCCUUCCAUAUUUCAUGUAACCCCUAUUUGGCAACACCAUCUUUUUCAACUUUAUUAACUAGUCUGGGGUGUCAACUUUAUUGCUAUUUCUCUCUCUUUCUUUAUAAUACUUCUCAAGAAAAGUCUCAAACUUUGCCUUGCUCUCCAUUAGAAAUUUGUUGAUCAUCAUUUUCUUCAUUUUUGUGUUCGAGGAAAGACUGCAGAAAUGGCUGCUGAUGGGUGCCCCUUCUCCUAACUGUUUUGCUGAGCAAGAGUUAAUCAAACAAGUUGUUGAUGCUGGGAAUGAGCUUCUUGAGAACCUCCCGGCUUCAAAAGAGGAGCUUUUGGAAAAACUUCAAGAUAACAAGGAGCUUGCACCAAAUUUUUCUUUCCCUAAAUAUAUUGGAUCAUCUGCACUACCAAAGUUGCAGGUCGGCAAUAACUUGAAAGUUAAGCAGUGACUGUCCUAAAGAAGUUAUUCCAUCCUCAGAUUUGGCCAAGAUGUCUGGCCAAAUCUUUUGUAAUGGCUGGAGUAAGCAAUGCUGAUUAAGACUGCAGAAAUGGCUGCUGAUAGGUGCUGCUUCUCCUGCCCAUUUUGCUGAGCAAGAGUUAAUCAGACAACUUGUCGAUUCUGGGAAUGAGCUUCUUGAGAACCUCCCGACUUCAAAAGAGGAGCUUUUGGAAAAACUUCAAGUG